GAUGAACGCUGGCGGCGUGCCUAAUACAUGCAAGUCGAGCGAACGGACGAGAAGCUUGCUUCUCUGAUGUUAGCGGCGGACGGGUGAGUAACACGUGGAUAACCUACCUAUAAGACUGGGAUAACUUCGGGAAACCGGAGCUAAUCCCGGAUGAUAUUUUGAACCGCAUGGUUCAAAAGUGAAAGACGGUCUUGCUGUCACUUAUAGAUGGAUCCGCGCUGCAUUAGCUAGUUGGUAAGGUAACGGCUUACCAAGGCAACGAUGCAUAGCCGACCUGAGAGGGUGAUCGGCCACACUGGAACUGAGACACGGUCCAGACUCCUACGGGAGGCAGCAGUAGGGAAUCUUCCGCAAUGGGCGAAAGCCUGACGGAGCAACGCCGCGUGAGUGAUGAAGGUCUUCGGAUCGUAAAACUCUGUUAUUAGGGAAGAACAUAUGUGUAAGUAACUGUGCACAUCGUGACGGUACCUAAUCAGAAAGCCACGGCUAACUACGUG
rnacentral:rRNA from 1 species